UUCCUGAUAGCUCAGCUGGUAAAGAAUUUGCCUGCAAUGUAGGAGACCUUGGUUCAAUUCCUGAGUUGGGAAA
rfam:TPA: Bos taurus chromosome 17, whole genome shotgun sequence.